rnacentral:miRNA from 10 species
ACCAGCUGUGCACUGCACAUCCAGGUAGCUCCAUUUACAGCACUACAAUGUAAAGGGCGCCCCUAGGGUUGUGCACUGUGGCAGCAUAAA